rnacentral:rRNA from 1 species
GUCCACGCCGUAAACGAUGGGUGCUAGGUGUCGCGGGCUUUGACUCCUGCGGUGCCGUAGCUAACGCAUUAAGCACACCGCCUGGGAAGUACGGCCGCAAGGCUAAAACUCAAAGGAAUUGACGGGGCCGCACAAGCGGUGGAGCAUGUGGUUUAAUUCGACGCAACGCGAAGAACCUUACCUGGGCUAGAAAUAGCAGGAACCUGGGAGGAAGUCUCGGGGUGGCUCUUCGGAGAGCCUGUAGUUAGGUGCUGCAUGGCUGUCGU